rnacentral:rRNA from 1 species
GACGAACGCUGGCGGCGUGCCUAAUACAUGCAAGUAGAACGCUGAAGGAGGAGCUUGCUUCUCUGGAUGAGUUGCGAACGGGUGAGUAACGCGUAGGUAACCUGCCUGGUAGCGGGGGAUAACUAUUGGAAACGAUAGCUAAUACCGCAUAAGAGUAGAUGUUGCAUGACAUUUGCUUAAAAGGUGCAAUUGCAUCACUACCAGAUGGACCUGCGUUGUAUUAGCUAGUUGGUGGGGUAACGGCUCACCAAGGCGACGAUACAUAGCCGACCUGAGAGGGUGAUCGGCCACACUGGGACUGAGACACGGCCCAGACUCCUACGGGAGGCAGCAGUAGGGAAUCCUCGGCAAUGGACGGAAGUCUGACCGAGCAACGCCGCGUGAGUGAAGAAGGUUUUCGGAUCGUAAAGCUCUGUUGUAAGAGAAGAACGAGUGUGAGAGUGGAAAGUUCACACUGUGACGGUAUCUUACCAGAAAGGGACGGCUAACUACGUG